AGAGUUUGAUCCUGGCUCAGAUUGAACGCUGGCGGCAGGCCUAACACAUGCAAGUCGAACGGUAACAGGAAGCAGCUUGCUGCUUCGCUGACGAGUGGCGGGCGGGUGAGUAAUGUCUGGGAAACUGCCUGAUGGAGGGGGAUAACUACUGGAAACGGUAGCUAAUACCGCAUAACGUCGCAAGACCAAAGAGGGGGACCUUCGGGCCUCUUGCCAUCGGAUGUGCCCAGAUGGGAUUAGCUAGUAGGUGGGGUAAAGGCUCACCUAGGCGACGAUCCCUAGCUGGUCUGAGAGGAUGACCAGCCACACUGGAACUGAGACACGGUCCAGACUCCUACGGGAGGCAGCAGUGGGGAAUAUU
rnacentral:rRNA from 1 species